rnacentral:rRNA from 1 species
AUUGAACGCUGGCGGCAGGCCUAACACAUGCAAGUCGAACGAGUGGCGGACGGGUGAGUAAUGUCUGGAACACUCCCUGAGGGAGGGGGAAAACUACGGGAAACGGUAGCUAAUACCGCAUACCAUCGGAUGUGCCCAGAGGGGAUUAGCUUGGCGGUGGGGUAACGGCUCACCUAGGCGACGAUCCCUACAUGGUCUGAGAGGAUGACCAGCCACACUGGAACUGAAACACGGUCCAGACUCCUACGGGAGGCAGCAGUGGGGAAUAGUGCACAAUGGGCGCAAGCCUGAUGCAGCCAUGCCGCGUGUAUGAAGAAGGCCUUCGGGUUGUAAAGUACUUUCAGCGGGGAGGCGUUACCCGCAGAAGAAGCACCGGCUAACUCCGUGCCAGCCGCCGCGGUAAUUC